GACGAACGCUGGCGGCGUGCUUAACACAUGCAAGUCGAGCGGAAAGGCCCUUCGGGGUCCUCGAGCGGCGAACGGGUGAGUAACACGUGAGUAACCUGCCCCAGACUUUGGGAUAACCCUCGGAAACGGGGGCUAAUACCGGAUACGACACAGCUUCGCAUGGGGUCUGUGUGGAAAGUUUUUCGGUUUGGGAUGGGCUCGCGGCCUAUCAGCUUGUUGGUGGGGUGAUGGCCUACCAAGGCGACGACGGGUAGCCGGCCUGAGAGGGCGACCGGCCACACUGGGACUGAGACACGGCCCAGACUCCUACGGGAGGCAGCAGUGGGGAAUAUUGCACAAUGGGCGGAAGCCUGAUGCAGCGACGCCGCGUGAGGGAUGACGGCCUUCGGGUUGUAAACCUCUUUCAGCAGGGACGAAGCGUAAGUGACGGUACCUGCAGAAGAAGCGCCGGCCAACGACGUGC
rnacentral:rRNA from 1 species